AUCAUGGCUCAGAUUGAACGCUGGCGGCAUGCCUUACACAUGCAAGUCGAGCGGCAGCGCGGGGGCAACCCUGGCGGCGAGCGGCGAACGGGUGAGUAAUGCAUCGGAACGUGUCCUUUUGUGGGGGAUAACCAGUCGAAAGACUGGCUAAUACCGCAUGAGCUCGCAAGAGGAAAGCAGGGGACCCGCAAGGGCCUUGCGCGAGAGGAGCGGCCGAUGCCCGAUUAGCUAGUUGGUGGGGUAAUAGCCCACCAAGGCGACGAUCGGUAGCUGGUAUGAGAGUACGACCAGCCACACUGGGACUGAGACACGGCCCAGACUCCUACGGGAGGCAGCAGUGGGGAAUUUUGGACAAUGGGGGCAACCCUGAUCCAGCCAUGCCGCGUGUGUGAAGAAGGCCUUCGGGUUGUAAAGCACUUUCGGCCGGAACGAAAUCGCGCGGGCGAAUAUCCCGCGUGGAUGACGGUACCGGAAGAAGAAGCACCGGCUAACUACGUGCCAGCCGCCGCGGUAAUUC
rnacentral:rRNA from 1 species